AAAAAAAAAAAAAAAACCAUAUCAUUGAGGAUGUCAUGAAUCAAUGAAACAACUUAUCCCAACAAACAAUGAAAUGAAUCUGUAAUUCUGUAUUCAAACAAAGAGGGAAAAUUUUUUUGAACUCUCUACAAGAAAGACAAAAACUGCCACCAAACAUGAGUCAAAAGAGAGUUUUACACAAAAUAUUUUGCAAAAUACUCAUCAAUGAAAUUCCCAAGUUCCAAUAAUGAAAAUAAUAUGUUAAAAGUAAAGUAUGAAAGCACACAUCACAUUCUGUCUGUCCAGGUCG
rnacentral:misc_RNA from 1 species